rnacentral:SRP_RNA from 16 species
GUUGCACCUGGUCAGGACAGGAAGG